rnacentral:rRNA from 1 species
AUUGAACGCUGGCGGCAUGCCUUACACAUGCAAGUCGAACGGCAGCACGGGAGCAAUCCUGGUGGCGAGUGGCGAACGGGUGAGUAAAGUAUCGGAACGUGCCCAGUCGUGGGGGAUAACGUAGCGAAAGUUACGCUAAUACCGCAUACGAUCUAUGGAUGAAAGCGGGGGAUCGCAAGACCUCGCGCGAUUGGAGCGGCCGAUAUCAGAUUAGGUAGUUGGUGGGGUAAAGGCUCACCAAGCCGACGAUCUGUAGCCGGUCUGAGAGGACGACCAGCCGCACAGGGAAUGAGACACGGCCCAGAAUGGUACGGGAGGCAGCAGUGGGGAAUUUUGGACAAUGGGCGAAAGGCUGAUCCAGCCAUGCCGCGUGCAGGAUGAAGGCCUUCGGGUUGUAAGCUGCUUUUGUACGGAACGAAAAGGUUUGGCCUAAUAAGCUGAGCUCAUGACGGUACCGUAAGAAUAAGCACCGGCUAACUACUGCCAGCCGCCGCGGUAA